rfam:Salmo salar isolate Sally breed double haploid chromosome ssa21, whole genome shotgun sequence.
CUCCCUGUGGCUCAGUUGGUAGAGCAUGGUGUUUGCAAUGGUGUUUGCAACGCCAGGGUUGUGGGUUCGAUUCCCAUGGGGGGC